GGCGCGGUAGCCAAGUAGAAAGGCAGUGGUCUGCAAAACCAUUAUGCGUGGGUGCAAAUCCCACCCGCGCCUCCA
rnacentral:tRNA from 2 species